rnacentral:rRNA from 1 species
GACGAACGCUGGCGGCGUGCUUAACACAUGCAAGUCGAACGGAAAGGCCCUGCUUUUGUUGCUUGCUCGAUUGGCGAACAGGUGAGUAACACGUGAGUAUCCUGCCCUUAUCUUUGGGAUAACUUCAGGAAACUGGGGCUAAUACCGCAUAUGAUCUCUUGCUGCAUGUUGGUGGUUGGAAAGUUUCGGCUGUUGUGGCUGGACUCGCUGCUUAUCAGCUUGUUUGUGUGGUAGUGGCUUACCAAGGCUUUGACGGGUAGCCGGCCUGAGAGGGUUAACGGGGACCAUGGGACUGAGAGACGGACCAGAAUCCUACGGGACGCAGCAGUCGAGAAUAUUGCACAGUGGGCGGAAGCGAGAUGCAGAAACGCCGGGUGCGGGAUGCCGGGCUUCGGGUUGUGAACCGAUGUCGAAUGUGACGAAGAGUGAGUGACGGUAAUGGGUAAAGAAGCAACGGCUAACUACGUG